UGAGUGAACUGAAAUUGUCCUCAACCUUUUCUCAGGAGAAUCUGGAAAAUGAAAUCCUUAGCCUGAGGAAGAUGAAAACGAGACUCGAAGAGGAGGUUGCUGAACAAGUGGAACUUAAUAACAAACUUCAGAAAGACAUAUCAUGUUUGAAGGAGGAAAUCAAGGACCUAAACAGGAGCUACCAAGCUUUGGUGGAGCAAGUGAAGAGUGCAGGUUUAAACCCUGAGUGUAUCGAGUCUUCGAUGAAGA
rnacentral:misc_RNA from 1 species